UGUCCACUGUCUCUGGUCCCAG
rnacentral:miRNA from 1 species